AGUGUCUGCCUUCUUCCUUCCCUCUUGAGUGUUGCUCCUCUUCCUCUCCUUUUUUCCAUGUCUCUCCUUUUUCUGAUCUCCUCCCGUUUCGGCAGCCCGAGCGCUCUUGCCCGGUUGCACCCCGCAGCCUGAGCUGGGCUCCCGGUGCCGGCUGCCUGAGCUCCAGGACCUGCCCUGGGGCCCCCUACAACCUUCCCGCCGCUCCCGGAACCUGACCCCUCUGUGCUUCACUUCUCGGUUUUCUUCCCUGAAAUAAGCAGCAGCGAAUCCCUUCUCCAGGUUUUCUCAUGUGUUCAGUCUGCAAGGCUUCUCCCUUUCUCCACCCUGCGCCUCGGUUUCUCCCCCGCUUCCCCGCCCUCCCUAAACUCAGCCAAGUGGAACAGAUCUCCCAGCAAAACAAGGCAGAGGGCGAGGAUAAAAAUGAUAAAUGUCAAUAUCAACAUUUUUAUUGCUUUAGGUUUUUAAAACAGAAAAUUAGCAGGAACGCCCAGAUCGACCCAGACCUAGGAUCAAGAUGGAGUUUCUUAAAGUACCAAGUGAGACUGCAGUGACAAAGUCGAUUAUCCCAGCAAUAUAAUCAGCUUUGCCUGGGGAAUUUACUUUUACUUUGUUUUUAUUUGUUUGUUUGCUUUGAGAUGGAGUCUCGCUCUGUCGCCCAGGCUAGAGUGCAGUGGCGCGAUCUCAGCUCACUGCAACCUCCGUCUCCUGGGUUCAAGCAAUUCUCCUGCCUCAGCCUCCCAAAUAGCUGGGAGUACAGGCGCCCACCACCAUGCCCAGCUAAUUUUUGCAUUUUUAGUAGAGACGGGGUUUCUCCAUGUUGGUCAGGCUGGUCUCGAAUUCCUGACCUCAGGUGAUCCGCCCGCUUCGACCUCCCAAAGUGCUGGGAUUACAGGCGUGAGCCACUGCGCCCGGCCUACUUUUAGUUUAUGCAGUAUUCUGGCGAUUUAAAGUUUGUAUUUUUUUUUUAAUUUUCUGAGCUCGUUUUGUAAAUGGCUGCUCUUGAACGUAAGGAUAAAUUGACUGAUGAGGCUGAGGUUUGGAGCCAAUCCCCGCACAAGGCAUUUGGCAUCAAACACGAGAAACCCUUGGCUAUUCAAAUGAGGAAACUCAAGUAACUUUCCCAGGGUCACUAAAGUCGGAGACCUCAAACGUGGACCCAGGUCAGGCUCCAGAGGUCCACCAGGACGACCCAUCAUGGCUCAUGAAUGUAUCCGUAAAAAUGGCAGAACUGCUCUUUCCAGC
rnacentral:lncRNA from 1 species